rnacentral:rRNA from 1 species
AGCCAUUAGAUGAUACUAUAUGGUUUUACCUGCCCAAUGUUACGAUGAAUGGCCGCGGUAUCCUGACCGUGCUAAGGUAGCGUAAUCAGUUGACCUUUAAAUGAGGUCAGGAAUGAAUGGAAUAACCGGGUUUAGCUGUCUCCAAACCAUUAUAUUGAAUUUACUAUCUAAGUGAAAAAGCUUAGGAUUUAAAAAAGGAGGAGAAGACCCUUAGAAUUUUUUUAAAAAGGAACAUAUUUUCCUUACAGUUUUAUUGGGGCGAUAAAGAAAUAAUUAAAACUUUCUUUUUUAACAAGCCGAUUGUAUUAAGUAAGAAUAAAUUACCUGAGGGAUAACAGCAUAAUUCUAUAACUGAGUUUGUGACCUCGAUGUUGGACUAGGAAACCAGUAGGCUAGCCGUUUACUGUGUUAGGUUCUGUUCGAACUUUUAUUCCU